AUACUAACCUUGCGUAGGGUGUACCGUGAUCAUGAAGGCGGUUGCCCCAGGCCGGCGCCAGUCAUUGCACUGCGGCUGGAUUUCGCUGACCUGUGACUAUUCCACAUUGGGGUACGUCGUACGUAUAAUUUUUGGUAGUUGGACAUGCGUUCUGCGCAGUCCAU
rnacentral:snRNA from 1 species